GUGGGGAAUAUUGGACAAUGGGCGAAAGCCUGAUCCAGCAAUGCCGCGUGAGUGAUGAAGGCCCUAGGGUUGUAAAGCUCUUUUACCCGGGAUGAUAAUGACAGUACCGGGAGAAUAAGCUCCGGCUAACUUCGUGCCAGCAGCCGCGGUAAUACGAGGGGAGCUAGCGUUGUUCGGAAUUACUGGGCGUAAAGCGCGCGUAGGCGGUUUUUUAAGUCAGAGGUGAAAGCCCGGGGCUCAACCCCGGAAUUGCCUUUGAAACUGGAAAACUAGAAUCUUGGAGAUGUCAGUGGAAUUCCGAGUGUAGAGGUGAAAUUCGUAGAUAUUCGGAAGAACACCAGUGGCGAAGGCGACUGACUGGACAAGUAUUGACGCUGAGGUGCGAAAGCGUGGGGAGCAAACAGGAUUAGAAACCCCAGUAGUCC
rnacentral:rRNA from 1 species